UACAGAGGGUGCGAGCGUUGUCCGGAAUCAUUGGGUUUAAAGGGUCCGUAGGCGGUUUUAUAAGUCAGUGGUGAAAUCUGGUCGCUCAACGAUCAAACGGCCAUUGAUACUGUAGAACUUGAAUUACUUGGAAGUAACUAGAAUAUGUAGUGUAGCGGUGAAAUGCUUAGAGAUUACAUGGAAUACCAAUUGCGAAGGCAGGUUACUACGAGUAUAUUGACGCUGAUGGACGAAAGCGUGGGGAGCGAACAGG
rnacentral:rRNA from 1 species